UACAGAGGGUGCAAGCGUUGUCCGGAAUCACUGGGCGUAAAGGGCGCGUAGGCGGCCCGGUAAGUAGGGGGUGAAAUCUCACGGCUCAACUGUGAGGCUGCCUUCUAGACUGCCAGGCUCGAGCACAGUAGAGGCUGGUGGAAUUCCCGGUGUAGCGGUGGAAUGCGUAGAGAUCGGGAGGAACACCGGUGGCGAAGGCGGCAUCCUGGACCGGUAUUGACGCUGAGGCGCGAAAGCCAGGGGAGCAAACGGG
rnacentral:rRNA from 1 species